rnacentral:rRNA from 1 species
UUGGAGGGCAAGUCUGGUGCCAGCAGCCGCGGUAAUUCCAGCUCCAAUAGCGUAUAUUAAAGUUGUUGCAGUUAAAAAGCUCGUAGUUGAAUUUCGGGGUUAGUAGGUUGGUCAUGCCACUGGUAUGUACUGGUCUCACUGACUCCUCCUUCCUGAUGAACUGUAAUGCCAUUAAUUUGGUGUUGCAGGGAAUCUGGACUGUUACUUUGAAAAAAUUAGAGUGUUUAAAACAGGCUAACGCCUGAAUACAUUAGCAUGGAAUAAUGAAAUAGGACGUUCGAUCCUAUUUUGUUGGUUUCUAGGAUUGACGUAAUGAUUAAUAGGGAUAGUUGGGGGCAUUAGUAUUCAAUUGUCAGAGGUGAAAUUCUUGGAUUUAUUGAAGACUAACUACUGCGAAAGCAUUUGCCAAGGAUGUUUUCAUUAAUCAAGAACGAAAGUUAGGGGAUCGAAGACGAUCAGAUACCGUCGUAGUCUUAACUAUAAACUAUGCCGACUAGGGAUCGGAUGAUGUUAAUUUUUUAAUGACUCAUUCGGCGCCUUACGGGAAAC